GUUUUAAUAGUUUAAAUAAAAACAUUGAUCUUGUAAAUCAAAGAUUAAUCUUAAAACU
rnacentral:tRNA from 1 species